GGCAGGGCUAUAUCUUAGGCGUGACUCCAGGGGGCGCCCAAGCCGACCUGAUGGAUGCUGCUAAGGAAAAAAUCUUCCGGCUAUCGUGCACGUGCGCACGCACACACCUGAUUGGAAUGGACAUGAACA